GUGCUCACUUCAGCAGCACAUAUACUAAAAUUGGAACGACACAGAGAAGAUUAGCAUGUCCUCUGCACAAGGAUGAUACGCAAAUUUGUGAAGCAUUGCAUAUUUUU